AAAGAUUAAGCCAUGCAUGUCUAAGUAUAAGCAAUUAUACCGCGAAACUGCGAAUGGCUCAUUAAAUCAGUUAUCGUUUAUUUGAUAGUACCUUACUACAUGGAUAACCGUGGUAAUUCUAGAGCUAAUACAUGCUAAAAAUCCCGACUUCGGAAGGGAUGUAUUUAUUAGAUUAAAGACCAAUGCCCUUCGGGGCUCUCUGGUGAUUCAUAAUAACUUCUCGAAUCGCACGGCCUUGCGCCGGCGGUGGUUCAUUCAAAUUUCUGCCCUAUCAACUUUCGACGGCUGGGUCUUGGCCAGCCGUGGUGA
rnacentral:rRNA from 1 species